UAGGGAAUCUUCGGCAAUGGACGAAAGUCUGACCGAGCAACGCCGCGUGAGUGAAGAAGGAUUUCGGAUCGUAAAACUCUGUUGUUAGAGAAGAACAAGGACGUUAGUAACUGAACGUCCCCUGACGGUAUCUAACCAGAAAGCCACGGCUAACUACGUGCCAGCAGCCGCGGUAAUACGUAGGUGGCAAGCGUUGUCCGGAUUUAUUGGGCGUAAAGCGAGCGCAGGCGGUUUCUUAAGUCUGAUGUGAAAGCCCCCGGCUCAACCGGGGAGGGUCAUUGGAAACUGGGAGACUUGAGUGCAGAAGAGGAGAGUGGAAUUGCAUGUGUAGCGGUGAAAUGCGUAGAUAUAUGGAGGAACACCAGUGGCGAAGGCGGCUCUCUGGUCUGUAACUGACGCUGAGGCUCGAAAGCGUGGGGAGCAAACAGG
rnacentral:rRNA from 1 species